rnacentral:lncRNA from 1 species
UUGGGGCAUUCCUUGCGGAGGCGGGUAACCUUGCCGGUGGCGUCGUCGACCUUGUAGAACUGGAGCACGGCGAGCUUCACCUUCUUGUGCUUGUGCUUGAUCUUCUUGGGCUUGGUGUACGUCUUCUUCUUGCGCUUCUUGGCCCCUCCCCUGAGGCGGAGCACCAGGUGCAGCGUCGACUCCUUCUGGAUGUUGUAGUCGGCGAGCGUGCGGCCAUCCUCGAGCUGCUUGCCGGCGAAGAUGAGGCGCUGCUGGUCCGGCGGG